rnacentral:lncRNA from 1 species
AAUUCUAGUACCCCAUUUUUUUUAUAUAAAAAACAACUCAUAUUCCAUACAUCUUUAUUAGGUGUGCUCCUUUUACUAGCCCACUAUGACGUUGAUACGUAACCAAGCACAUGAAAAAUCCUCUAUUAAUUUAUUAUCCCGAAUCUGUACGAUGCUUUUGAGCCUUUUCGGUUAGCCCUUGUUGGUAUACCUUUCAACAAGAUCUACCACCAAGUUGUGUGAUAGUACUUAAUGCAUUCGAAUUAAUUAAUACAAUCACUUGUAGCACUCUUCCUUAAAUUAGCCAUCAAAUAAGAAAAAUGAAACCCCUUAAACACUUUUUAUCUCAUCGAUCAUACUACAU